CACGUAGGGCGCAAGCGUUGUCCGGAAUUAUUGGGCGUAAAGAGCUCGUAGGCGGUCCGUCACGUCCGCUGUGAAAACCCAGGGCUCAACCCUGGGCUUGCAGUGGAUACGGGCAGACUAGAGGUAGGUAGGGGAGAAUGGAAUUCCCGGUGUAGCGGUGAAAUGCGCAGAUAUCGGGAGGAACACCGGUAGCGAAAGCGGCUCACUGGGUCUUUUCUGACGCUGAGGCACGAAAGCUAGGGUAGCGAACGGG
rnacentral:rRNA from 1 species